rnacentral:tRNA from 1 species
UCCCUGGUGGUUCAGUGCCAAGACUUUGCAUUCCCAAUGCAGGGGGCCUGGGUUCAAUCCCUGGUCAGGGAA